rnacentral:rRNA from 1 species
CUUAGGCGUGUGACUGCGUACCUUUUGUAUAAUGGGUCAGCGACUUAUAUUCUGUAGCAAGGUUAACCGAAUAGGGGAGCCGAAGGGAAACCGAGUCUUAACUGGGCGUUAAGUUGCAGGGUAUAGACCCGAAACCCGGUGAUCUAGCCAUGGGCAGGUUGAAGGUUGGGUAACACUAACUGGAGGACCGAACCGACUAAUGUUGAAAAAUUAGCGGAUGACUUGUGGCUGGGGGUGAAAGGCCAAUCAAACCGGGAGAUAGCUGGUUCUCCCCGAAAGCUAUUUAGGUAGCGCCUCGUGAAUUCAUCUCCGGGGGUAGAGCACUGUUUCGGCAAGGGGGUCAUCCCGACUUACCAACCCGAUGCAAACUGCGAAUACCGGAGAAUGUUAUCACGGGAGACACACGGCGGGUGCUAACGUCCGUCGUGAAGAGGGAAACAACCCAGACCGCCAGCUAAGGUCCCAAAGUCAUGGUUAAGUGGGAAACGAUGUGGGAAGGCCCAGACAGCCAGGAUGUUGGCUUAGAAGCAGCCAUCAUUUAAAGAAAGCGUAAUAGCUCACUGGUCGAGUCGGCCUGCGCGGAAGAUGUAACGGGGCUAAACCAUGCACCGAAGCUGCGGCAGCGACGCUGAUGCGUUGUUGGGUAGGGGAGCGUUCUGUAAGCCUGUGAAGGUGUGCUGUGAGGCAUGCUGGAGGUAUCAGAAGUGCGAAUGCUGACAUAAGUAACGAUAAAGCGGGUGAAAAGCCCGCUCGCCGGAAGACCAAGGGUUCCUGUCCAACGUUAAUCGGGGCAGGGUGAGUCGACCCCUAAGGCGAGGCCGAAAGGCGUAGUCGAUGGGAAACAGGUUAAUAUUCCUGUACUUGGUGUUACUGCGAAGGGGGGACGGAGAAGGCUAUGUUGGCCGGGCGACGGUUGUCCCGGUUUAAGCGUGUAGGCUGGUUUUCCAGGCAAAUCCGGAAAAUCAAGGCUGAGGCGUGAUGACGAGGCACUACGGUGCUGAAGCAACAAAUGCCCUGCUUCCAGGAAAAGCCUCUAAGCAUCAGGUAACAUCAAAUCGUACCCCAAACCGACACAGGUGGUCAGGUAGAGAAUACCAAGGCGCUUGAGAGAACUCGGGUGAAGGAACUAGGCAAAAUGGUGCCGUAACUUCGGGAGAAGGCACGCUGAUAUGUAGGUGAAGUCCCUCGCGGAUGGAGCUGAAAUCAGUCGAAGAUACCAGCUGGCUGCAACUGUUUAUUAAAAACACAGCACUGUGCAAACACGAAAGUGGACGUAUACGGUGUGACGCCUGCCCGGUGCCGGAAGGUUAAUUGAUGGGGUCAGCGCAAGCGAAGCUCUUGAUCGAAGCCCCGGUAAACGGCGGCCGUAACUAUAACGGUCCUAAGGUAGCGAAAUUCCUUGUCGGGUAAGUUCCGACCUGCACGAAUGGCGUAAUGAUGGCCAGGCUGUCUCCACCCGAGACUCAGUGAAAUUGAACUCGCUGUGAAGAUGCAGUGUACCCGCGGCAAGACGGAAAGACCCCGUGAACCUUUACUAUAGCUUGACACUGAACAUUGAGCCUUGAUGUGUAGGAUAGGUGGGAGGCUUUGAAGUGUGGACGCCAGUCUGCAUGGAGCCGGCCUUGAAAUACCACCCUUUAAUGUUUGAUGUUCUAACGUUGACCCGUGAUCCGGGUUGCGGACAGUGUCUGGUGGGUAGUUUGACUGGGGCGGUCUCCUCCUAAAGAGUAACGGAGGAGCACGAAGGUUGGCUAAUCCUGGUCGGACAUCAGGAGGUUAGUGCAAUGGCAUAAGCCAGCUUGACUGCGAGCGUGACGGCGCGAGCAGGUGCGAAAGCAGGUCAUAGUGAUCCGGUGGUUCUGAAUGGAAGGGCCAUCGCUCAACGGAUAAAAGGUACUCCGGGGAUAACAGGCUGAUACCGCCCAAGAGUUCAUAUCGACGGCGGUGUUUGGCACCUCGAUGUCGGCUCAUCACAUCCUGGGGCUGAAGUAGGUCCCAAGGGUAUGGCUGUUCGCCAUUUAAAGUGGUACGCGAGCUGGGUUUAGAACGUCGUGAGACAGUUCGGUCCCUAUCUGCCGUGGGCGCUGGAGAACUGAGGGGGGCUGCUCCUAGUACGAGAGGACCGGAGUGGACGCAUCACUGGUGUUCGGGUUGUCAUGCCAAUGGCACUGCCCGGUAGCUAAAUGCGGAAGAGAUAAGUGCUGAAAGCAUCUAAGCACGAAACUUGCCCCGAGAUGAGUUCUCCCUGACUCCUUGAGAGUCCUGAAGGAAC